CACUCCUUCCCCUCCAUGUGAGGUCCCCCAUUUUCAAAGCCUGGCUCUCAGCAGCCAGCCCUGCCUGCUUGUAAAAAGGCCUUGAAUAGAAAUAAAGUGACAGGUGAACAUCUCCUGUUCAGAUGGGAGGGUUGGGGUUCAGUAAUGAAUGCCUGGGUUUGUCCUGGGAUGCAGUGGCUGGGAGGGAGCAGCGGUGCUGGGAUGCUGUGAGCCAGCUGCGAUUAGAUGUGCUAUCAUUUCCUGGAGGUAUAUAUUGCAGAUAAAAUGUGUCUGUCUAUGUUGAGUUGCUCCUUGUUGUUAUGGCCCUGAAGUAGUGCUGUAUCCCUAUGUAUUACCAAACUUGGAGCAUUUCACCUAUAAUAGCAAAUUCUUAGUCCUGAGUGCCCCGUUGCUAUUUGCACGGUCACUCCAGGCUCUCCACCCACAGCCUCUCGUGGCAUCUCACCUCUGACCAGCGCAUCCCUGCUCCCCUUGGUGACUUUAUGCUCUGCUGUCAGAGGAAGCCCUGCCCUAAGUCUGGGUCUCGGCUCCUUAAAGCCCCUCAUAACUAAGCGUGAGUUUUUUGCCCGAGUGCCCCGGAGCUGGUUCAGCUAGGAGGAGUCAAAUAUCUUUUGCAAAUAGCCCAAUGCUGUGGCUGUUAAAAUCCAGAAGUCUUGACUCAAAAAAAAAAAAAAAGAAAAAAAAAGAAAAAAAAAAGGCAUUUAACCUGUUGUUGCCUUUAUCAGCUGCUCUGGAGGGAAAAUCAGGUUGCAGCAGAGUCAGGUGCUUGGCAAAGGUUCCCCUCCUGUCCAUGCUCCAGCUCCAACAUCAGCAGCUUUCUGUCGGUCUGGUCCCUACUAGCCAUGCAUAGCUUCACGUACCGCUGGCUAUUAAUUGCAGAGCAAAUUAACCUUCCUCAGACCAUAUGUUGCUGCUGUAAACUGCUUGAAGAAAUCUCCUUGCCAUUUCCAGACUGGAGACCUUUUGUUUUCAUUCAGCGAAGUACCAGUUCUGUAAGAGACAGCUUUCUCCACUCAGCAUCUUUGGGACACCCAUCGAUCAACGACAGGGAAUUGAAGCCCCCAGUUCCCAGCCACUCUGAAGCAGGUGCUCAAACCCAUCACCUGAGCAGAGCUGAGUUUGGCCUCCUGAUGGGAGGAGAUGGGACUGAGAGCUCAACAAUGUCUCUGAAAACUGAAGCUGCUGAAUGUGCUUGCAAUUCACUUUGGGUGGAAAGCAGGAUGGAACUGACACGCCAGCUAAGGCCACAUCCAUUACGGGCAGCCAGAGCUUCAGCUGCCAGGCUGAUGGUAACUCAUUGCUGAGAUAAAGAUCUGUGCGUUGACCCGUGAGGCUGAAUUAUCAGCUAUAUGGAAAACCACUGACCUGACCAUCUUCCAGGAAAAGGCACCACGUAUUGGAAAGCAUACAGAGAGGCUUGGGAUGAAAAUUGGGAAAGACAGACCAUUUCUCCCACUGGAAGCUCUGGGACCCGCUGCGGGCUCGGGGCGGGUGUUUCCGAAGUGCUUUCGUGUGGAGGAGUUUUCUACAAUGAAGUUUUCAUCGCAGCACUGAGAAAGCCUUGAUUUACUGCCCUCAGAGCAUCCAGGAUACCAGAGUUGCGUUCGAUUUCAUGUCAAUCCUUUGCAAAGGCAGGGCUUAAUGCAAGCUAGACCCGCGCCUUGUGGACUUUUCUUCUGCCUCGGUACCUCCCUGUUGAUCUGCUGCCUUUUCUGUUAUGGCAGUCCUAACAAGUCCAUACCAAACCCAUGUACAUCCUUUUGCAGGGUGUGGUUGUGCACCCAGGGGCGUAGGAAGCUGGACACCAGGAGUAAUGACCAUGAGUUAGACUAUGGUUAAGUUUUGCCUGUACUUUUCCCUUUUUUAUAUCACAUCUAGGCAUUAACAGGGUAUUGGGCAGAGCCAGAACCCAGGAAGGAUGUGGGGCGGCCUAUUGCCUGUCUGUGCACUCACCAGGGAAGCAGCAGAUAACCCCAUGCCCUGCUCUUGUGUCGGGGGCAGAGGGUCCAAUGCUCUCUGCAGAAAUGCUGAAGCUUGCCUGGUGUCCUGGAAAGGCAGGCAGUCACAUCCCGGAGCAUGGGGGUAAGAUUUGGGCACAGAAACGGCACCGGUUCUUUGCAGAAAGAAAAUAUUGCUGGAAAAGUGACAGUGCAAAUCGGUCCCUCCAAAAAAGGACCAUAACUGGGGGGCUGUAAGGAAAAGCUGUUACACACAGCCCUGUUGUUUGUCCCAAUGUAUUUUGGUUGAUAAAAUCUGAGAGCAACUCCGGAGCCCUUCGCUGAGGGACGUAGGAAGAUACCGUGCCCGGGGACGGGAUUCUCCCCAAGUUGCUCUCCUCAUCUACAGAUCAGGUCCCUGCAGCCCGUGAUCCAGCCAUAGAUGAUGGAGAGUGAUCAGCACCUCCAGAGGUUAUCCUUCAAACCAGCUGGCACUUUUGGGUGUUGAGAAGGGCUGACUACUCAGAUCUCUUCCCACUGCCUACAGCCAUGGGCUGGGGACAGCCAAACUUUGAUGGCCAAAGCCAGGUAAAUGAUUCCUGGACAAUAUCAGGUCUGAGUCCAGACACAGAUGGGAUGGAGCACUCUCAAACUAGGUUAUGAACAAAUCCCUGUCACUUGGAGUUUUUUGUGAAUUUGCUAUUAAGCUAAGAACAUUUAAAAGCUUGGGAGGUGUUGAGCAUCUCCAGGCACAAGAGAUGUCUUGGGAUAUAACAAAGUGUGACUUGAAUUUCUUGCACCUUGCCAGUGAGCCAUGAUUAAUGGGUCAGGCAGCAGAGGUGUAAUGAAAUCAAUAGAGUUUGCUUCUUGUUUGGUUGGAGUGGAGAUCUUUGCAGAUCCAGAAGCGCUGUGGUGGUGUCAUGCCCCCCCCUCUUUCCCUCCAAGUUUUCUGUUCUGUUGAAAACUCUUUGGGUUUAACCCUUGGGAAGGCUGUGAUUUGAAGGGUAGCUGCAAGAGAGUUGAGGUCUACAAGGAUGUAAUGUGUUUGGCAUGGUUUGUGCUAGGAAAUGUCUGAGAGAGUAGAAAAUAGGAGCUGCGUACAAUACACCAGGGAAGGAGCUGAGGCUUGCAGACAGGGCUGCAGGCUCCGGCUCUAACCCCGGCUUGACAAUUGAUAGAGAAAAAUCUUGUGACUGCCGUCUUACAGCACUAACGAGGAACGCGCGUUCUCUUCUGAUCAAAAGUCUGAAACACAACGUGCUCUCCCUGCCCGGCCUCUGAUCUACAAAUACAUCACUGGCUUUUAUCACUCAUUUUUUCUUUAUCUGAGCGGAGCUGGUCUCAAGCGCUACAACCUGAUUAUCUCUGAGGAGGUUGCCAAAUGCAUGUCAGGGAUCGUUAGACGUAAUAAUAAAGGAAGCAGGAGGAAUCAAGUGGCUUGAGUAGGAAAUCAGAGGGAAUUCCUGGCCGUGGCUGCCAGUCUGGUGAACGCUGGGACCCGCCUGCAGCGCUGUGUGACAGAGGAGGUCACAGCUCAGGACUCGUAAGCCUUCUCAGAUCAGUGAUAUAUUAAAUGAAAAUGCCAUUGUGCAUUCUCUCCCUCCCCAAACAAUAUAUUUACAUAUACUCAUAGCAGCUAGAAGAAUGAGUCGUAUUAAAAGUAGAACUUAAAUCCCUCUUGGCCACCCCAAAAGUUUGCUAGCCUUUGUUGUUCAACCCUUGCCUUUGGGAUUAUUGGCACUUCUGGGCAGGGCUAAGGGAAGAUUUGGUUUCCCUUCAGUUCACAGAAAAAUAAUUGGUGGCACUGCUAUGUUUUUGAAUGAAUUAGAAAAUAAGCAACAAUAUUUUCCAGCCAAGAACCUUCUAUUCAAUUUGAAAUUAAUUUCAUUCUGCAUUCAAGUGAUCUUGAGAACCAUUUUUCACAGAAAAUGGAAAGACAUUUUUAACUAAAAACUGGUCUGUAAUUAGAGGCUUUGCUUUAAAAUAAAACAUGUUUGGGUAUCCUCUGUUGUUGAGUUUUCAGAGUUAUUUGUGUUUAAAAANNNNNNNNNNNNNNNNNNNNNNNNNNNNNNNNNNNNNNNNNNNNNNNNNNNNNNNNNNNNNNNNNNNNNNNNNNNNNNNNNNNNNNNNNNNNNNNNNNNNNNNNNNNNNNNNNNNNNNNNNNNNNNNNNNNNNNNNNNNNNNNNNNNNNNNNNNNNNNAGAAUGGCUUGCACUGAUUGAAUUGCCUUCUAUUUUGCUUCAAAAUAGAACUGUGGCAAAAAAGUAAUUUAACCCUAAUCAAGUUCAAAUCAAUCAAACCUACUUAGCUACUGUCCUGUAGCUACCAAGUCAGGAAAGGCGAUCUUCUUCGGGUAGAGGAAUGAGGCUCUGAUAUGAAAUAACGUUUUUUUUAUUGGUCUUGUAACAAAUUUCAUAGAAAUAGGAUAAAAUCAGAAUAAAAGAUCUGGGCAAGAAUUGUUCUUCAAACAAAGUCAUUCUAAAUUAGGUGGAGUUUCGCAAAGAUUUUAGCUGCUCAGUCUCAUUAAACUGGACUCUAGCACCUAAAAUCCUCUCUAGAUCUGGAUGGAAAUCCUCUUUGUCUUCUCUUAAGGCCUCUCUCUCUGUUUCAAUAGCGGUGCUUGCAUUUCCUAGCAGUCCCGGUGCACACCUCUGUUAUGGCAGGAGGACUCGGAAGAGCCUGCUCCAGAAGCCUCUGGUUUAUGGAGGGCUUUUCGUGGUGUUUUCUUAAGGUCUGAGCUGAUCCGCAAGGAGUGGGGCUUAUGGAGCUCGGUUUCCUGCGGCUCGGUGUCUCGCGGUUGGAUUAUCGCGUGCCUAAUAAGGUGUGAGCCCUGAUUGAAACAUUUCCUGAGGUUGGGGCCUUUCAAAUAUUUCUCUCCCCAGUGUCCUUUCCAGCAUCUAACAGCCCCGCUGGGCUCCAGCUGUGGCCCCUCUCCCAGUGAGGGCAGAAAUACAGCCUUUUUCCUCCAUCCAGCUGCCUACAGCCAUCAAACCCAGCGAACUCCUAAUGCUUCUGAGGCUUUUUUUUUCCAACCAGGUUGAUUGAAAUGGAACUGCGGAUUUCAGGAAUUACGACUGGAGGGAGCUGAGGGACGCACAGGAACG
rnacentral:lncRNA from 1 species